AGAGUUUGAUCCUGGCUCAGGAUGAACGCCCUUGGUGUGCCUAAUACAUGCAAGUCGUACGCACUGGCCCAACUGAUUGAUGGUGCUUGCACCUGAUUGACGAUGGAUCACCAGUGAGUGGCGGACGGGUGAGUAACACGUAGGUAACCUGCCCCGGAGCGGGGGAUAACAUUUGGAAACAGAUGCUAAUACCGCAUAACAACAAAAGCCACAUGGCUUUUGUUUGAAAGAUGGCCUUGGCUAUCACUCUGGGAUGGACCUGCGGUGCAUUAGCUAGUUGGUAAGGUAACGGCUUACCAAGGCGAUGAUGCAUAGCCGAGUUGAGAGACUGAUCGGCCACAAUGGAACUGAGACACGGUCCAUACUCCUACGGGAGGCAGCAGUAGGGAAUCUUCCACAAUGGACGAAAGUCUGAUGGAGCAACGCCGCGUGAGUGAAGAAGGGUUUCGGCUCGUAAAGCUCUGUUGGUAGUGAAGAAAGAUAGAGGUAGUAACUGGCCUUUAUUUGACGGUAAUUACUUAGAAAGUCACGGCUAACUACGUGCCAGCAGCCGCGGUAAUACGUAGGUGGCAAGCGUUGUCCGGAUUUAUUGGGCGUAAAGCGAGUGCAGGCGGUUCAAUAAGUCUGAUGUGAAAGCCUUCGGCUCAACCGGAGAAUUGCAUCAGAAACUGUUGAACUUGAGUGCAGAAGAGGAGAGUGGAACUCCAUGUGUAGCGGUGGAAUGCGUAGAUAUAUGGAAGAACACCAGUGGCGAAGGCGGCUCUCUGGUCUGCAACUGACGCUGAGGCUCGAAAGCAUGGGUAG
rnacentral:rRNA from 1 species